CGGAAGAGCUACUCAAGAAUUUACCUGAGUUCACAUCAGUGUUAUGAAAUUUUCUCGAGCUUUUGUCUUGGAAAGCAAAAGGUUUAAGUUAAACUCAUGCAGGGGAAUGGUUACACUUUGCUGAAGUAAAUUUGCCCACAUCAGAGAAGUUUAGGAACUCAUAGGCGUCCUCAGUGAGAGAUUAUGCCCCAGAUUUUGUUCACCACGUCACUCAUGGACCGCUUACUCUUCUGCCCACCCUUCGAUACUUCUCUACAACAUCCGGAGCAGGAAGUUAUAAUCGGUGUUUCCAAUGGAAAAGCUAUUAAUAGCUUUUCGGAACAACUCUAAUCGAGCAGCACUUCAGCAGAAACUCCUGUAGAAUGGGACUGAACGUCCCAAAUUUAGUGAGACUUCCAAGAGUAAUUUUUCUACUUUCCAUUUCUUUUUUUUUUUAUUGCAGAUUAAUUAAAUCAUUUGAGACAUCUCACCAACUAUAGAGGAUGUAGGCCAAAACCUUGCUCCUGCAGAGUACAGAGAUGUAGACCCACUGAAGGGAAUAUAGAGAAGUGACAAGAGUAAAAGCUCCCUCACAUUCUAAACAGAAGGAGCAUUGUUUACCUGUUGGAGCCCAUCAAUUGCAGGUAUUAUUAAGCAUCUUUCUCCAUGCUCAAAAAGAGCUUGUACCUCUUAAACUUUUCCCUCUAGUGGCUCAUUUAGUGCUGUUUAAAAAAAACACAUGUAAAAGUGUGCAUUUGAGUGAUUCUUUGGAAGUUUUGGAUAUCACAUAUGACUGAUACAGCAUUAAAUACCUUCAAAUGGAAGUAGAAUUCCCCUCAGAAAAGAAAAAGAAACCGAAUUCGACAAGAGGAAUCAAGAUUUGAUCCUCCAAGAAACAAAGGGGGCCAUUCUUUACCCACACCUCUAAAUUCUAACUACUAAAGGAUUGUGAUUCUUGUUACUUCAUAUGCUAGGGAGAAGAGAGAGAGAAAGAACCUUCUUUUUCUGAAUAGGUUGGGUGGGAGUGUCCUUUGGAUAACUUUAUAAACCUCAGUGCCUCCUUGUGGGUUUUGAGUUCUGUAACUAACAAUCCACCUUUGCAGCACAUCAUGAGGUUCUGAUUGAAUUCUUUUUUUCUUUUUCUUUUUCUUUUUCUUUUUUUUUGAGAGAUAGGUAGC